rnacentral:lncRNA from 1 species
GGCGGGCUCGGGGCAGCUGGGAGCCAGGUCUAGCAGCAGGUUGCUGGCGGCCUGGGAGCAAACCCGAAAGGAUGGGCUGGAGCUGCUAGGAAAGGUCUUGGCCCCACCCUCAAUCUGUACAUUGAAGUCGAAGCCCCAGGACACCUCUGAAUGUGUCCGCAUUUGCAGGCACAGCCUUUAGGCAGGACAUCAGGGUUGAGGGAGGUCCUGUGCUGGGCCCUAUUCAAUAUGAAUGCUGUCCCACAGAAAGAAAGAGACCACUCUGGGAGGCUGAGGCAGGAGGGUCACAAGUUUAAGCUCAGCUUGGGCAAGUUGGUGAUGUAGCAAGACCUUGUCUGAAAAUGAAAAGUGAAAAAAAAGGAGGCCCUGGGUUCAAUGCUGAGAGAGAGAGAGAGAGAGAGAGAGAGAGAGAGAGAGAGAGAGAGAGAGAGAGAGAGAAUAUUCACACACAGAAAAAACACUAGGUGAAGAGCCAGCAAGGGGCAGCCAUGUGUAAGCUCACAGAGAGGCCUCACAAGAGCCACCCUGCCCGUGUCUUGGCCUUGGCCUUCCGGCUUCCAAAACGAGUAAUAUAUUUACCUGAUUAAAAAUCAACCAGCUGUGGUGGUGGACACCUGGAAUGCCAGCACUUGGGAGGCUGAAACAGGAGGAUUGCUGGGAGCUUUGCUAUGUAGCCAGUUCAAGGCCAGCCUUGAACUGUUUUGUUUUAAAACAAACAAACAAACAACCUCCCCCCAAAACCUGUAAAGUGCAAUAGUGAGCACGCGAUAAAGGUCAACACCAUCCCCG